rnacentral:lncRNA from 1 species
CCUGUGAACUCACUUCCUCCUACCUCACUCCCAUAGGAGCCACUGUGCCGGAGCAGCCCCUUCCACCCUGUGACUAAAGAAUGCCUAGGUCUACGCGUUGCAGCUGCUGCUUCUCUGACAUAUGACGAAAGGACUGAUCCUGCAGGUGCCUCAUGGCCUCACCAGCCCCUCAGUGGAUGUCUAGCACCAACUGGAACAGAAACAAACUGCAAACAGGAAAGGCAGCAUGCGAAGCUGAAGAGGCGCCACUUGCAGGAAAACAGGCGCAGGUCUUAGCAACAUGACCUUCACAGGGUCCCCACCUCUGGCCCUCAGGUUCCCUC